GAUCUGCUUCCUGCUCUCGAAAGACCCAACAGUUUAUCGCCCUGGUCAACACACCUGUCCCACAUUCUUCUCAAGAGCCGACCACUUCGUCGCCCAGCAACAAGCAGACUGCCAUCAAACUUGCAAC